ACGGUUAUCUCCCGAUAUUCCCUUAUUCUCGUAUUUCCUUGGACACUCGCGAAUCAGAGAAAAUUCUUUACGAAACAAGCAUAAAUACGUAAAAGAUAUGUUUAUAGGUAGGACGCCCGUUCGACAACACGAUUCCCGCGAUUCUGUGCGAAUGGAACGCAGGAAUGAAAGGAAUUGGAAGGGGGAACGAAGGAAUUUUUUUUAAUGUGAUGAAGUCGUGGGCAAGUGGUCACAUAGUUACACUUGUAUGUGCACGCGUAGAAAAAAGGUACACCUACUCGAAUUUCUCCAUGGAAAACUUCAUUUUCUUCCUUUGUCGGUCAUCGUUUUGAUUUUGUGUGAUUUGCAUUUAUUUUCCCUUUUUUUUUUAUAAAUGGGGUUACGUACAAGUAUAUUCUGUAUACGGUCGUGUACAGCCGUGAUUAUGAGAGGUGACCUUUGGCCUCGGCGCAGAUCCUGCAGAGAUAUCAGUUUCGUUUUCACCGUGACGCAGUGGUACGCGCGCACACAUCGCAGUACACGCCUUUUGCCUUUUGCCCGUUGUCGGAGCAACACUUAAUUUGUCCGUCCACUUGUGCCCUCGCCGCGGGACGUUCAUUGGCCGCCGUGUAGCCAAGGAUGAAGAUUCGAGGGAGAACCGUGAGAGGCCGCGAAGGACGCCAGUGAAAGUGCUCCAUGGAUCUAUUUACUCAACGGGAAAUAAGCCUUUGUGUGCAGAUUUCUAUGCCGAUCAUCUACUAUGCAAUAUUGCCGAUAUCGUACAACGCUCGAAUAGAUGAAUAAGUGGUAUCGCGCACAUCAGACGUUUAAUUUUAAUCGAUGCCGAGAUUUAUGGUAAGUAUACAUGUGGAUAUUGUUUGGUACUUGAAUGGUAUGUUUUGGUAUUCGAUCAUGAGAAACAGAUAAGGUGAAGGUAUUACCGAGCGUUUAUCGUAUAUACAGCUAUUUAUCACCCGAUGAAAUUCUACUAGCCUGUGACAAUUUUCUAAUCGUCGAUUUAUGUUUUCCAGUGUCAAAGGUUAAUUUUAUGUAAAAUGUAUUUCGUGUGAAAAUUAUAGCGCCACGUGCCACUUAAUCCUAAUCGGAUAUUGUUUGUUAUUCGAUCGAUCAUUCGCAUUAGAUAAACUGCAAGUAAUAGUACGUGUUUAUUGCACGCAUGUUUAUUUAUCACCUGGUGAAAUUCUACUGACCUGUGACAGAUUUUCUAAUUGAAAUUUCAUGUUUUCAUGUCUAUUUUGACGUAAUGGAAGAUUUAUGUAUUCAUGCAGGGAUUAUAACGUAUACGGUUUCUGAUAAUAGAAGGUCGGGAUGGAAGAAGAAAUAAUAAUGAAAAGGAAAUUGAUGAAAUCCUCUAUAUUUCUCUUCGUGAAAUGUUGUAUUAGCACAGCAUCGAUUCUCAAUAGGUCAUGUGAAUUUUUCAAAAAUAUUUCAGCCACGUCAAUUAAAAUAAUUUCUUGCUACGUUACGUUUUGAAUGACAAUGUUUAUUUUCGAUGAGCACGAAAGGUACUUGUACAUUAUAUUGUAGCAUUUACGUACCUACAUCAACCAGGUCCGAGUACCUACAUUAAAUUUCGCACUAUUUUAAUGGUAUUUUCAUGUAAUUAUAAAAAUUUGGUACUUGAUAAAAAGUCGUUUCAUUGGAAAAUAAA